GAUGAACGCUGGCGGCGUGCCUAAUACAUGCAAGUCGAGCGAACAGACGAGGAGCUUGCUCCUCUGACGUUAGCGGCGGACGGGUGAGUAACACGUGGAUAACCUACCUAUAAGACUGGGAUAACUUCGGGAAACCGGUGCUAAUACUGGCUAAUAUAUUGAACCGCAUGGUUCAAUAGUGAAUGACGGUUUUGCUGUCACUUAUAGACGGUUCCGCGCCGCAUUAGAUAGUUGGUAAGGUAACGGCUUACCAAGGCGACGAUGCGUAGCCGGCCUGAGAGGAUGAUCGGCCACACUGGAACUGAGACACGGUCCAGACUCCUACGGGAGGCAGCAGUAGGGAAUCUUCCACAAUGGGCGAAAGCUUGACGGAGCAACGCCGCGUGGGUGAUGAAGGUCUUCGGAUCGUAAAACUCUGUUAUUAGGGAAGAACAAAUGUGUAAGUAACUAUGCACGUCUUGACGGUACCUAAUCAGAAAGCCACGGCUAACUACGUG
rnacentral:rRNA from 1 species